UGUUGCCUCCGGAGCACUUCUGUACGAGCUCUCGUUCAAGACGAUUCCGCUUAAGAUCUCACGGUCACACUGUUAUGUGCCUUUAUUGUUAAACUUUGUGCUGUUUUGCGCUAACAUAAAUUUAGAGCGUUUGUUUGGUACAGAUGUGUGCGAUAUUUACAGCCACCUGCAAAAAUAUUUAGGUUCCCCGAUUCAACGGCCCUUGCCAUUCUGUGGUGAAACUCGCCGAAGUGGAAAUACCAAUGGCUAUUGCCUGCUGGAAAACAUCAAAGGAGUAUGGAUAUAAUAAUCUAUUAUGUGGAAAUAUAUAUUUUUUUACAAUAUACUGCAUGAAUGUGAACAAACGAUAAGUAAUCUUAAAUAUAGGUACCUACCUAAAACAAUUUAUGUACUGAUAUUGUCUUUAAACGUCUAUAGAAUCACGAAACAACUCAAAAGCGAACCAAUCCGUUUAGUAGGAAAAUAACAUGAAAAAACUAUUCGAGGAAGCAAACAGCAGAAAAAAUAAGAGGAACAAAACAUUCCCCCUAAGUCCCCAUAACUUGCAUGUUAGCCGUGAGUGAAAACACCGAGAUUUCUUUAUCAAAAACCCGUUGAGAGUGGGGAGCGUCGGCGACGUGGUGUGAAACCGACACCCGGGUAGUGUAUGAAUGAUGUAAGAUACGACUUCUUAUAGACAGUUAGAUACCUAUGCUUUAUUAGGUACACCAUAUUUUUCAUUUUUGAUCUUAGAACUAAUUAUAGGUGACGUAAUGGGCGGUCUUAUCGCUAUGAGCGAUCUCUUCCAGACAGCCAGAUAUAUUAGAUAGUUUUGGUGCAUAUAAUAAAUUUGGGACUGGGUAAUUGGAAGAGGAUCUUUAUAAGUGAAAAUAUUGAACAAAAAUGACUGCAGGUUUUUAUAACGAAACGCAAUAGUGGCUUCGAGAGGCAAAAAAAAAAAAACUUUUGCAUUGAUAUUGCAUGUUUCAAAAUGUUUGGAGAGCUAAUGAAAACAGGAAAGAGGCAUCGUUUGUUCAGUAUUUUCAGGACUUUAUGAAUUCGGUAGUGGAAUCUGCAUAGAGGUCAAAAAGCAUGCGUCGACAUAAUAUUUUUAUGACGGUAAAGGACAACUCUCAUAUGGUUUAUUAUUUCACCUAGAUAUAUAGAUAUUUUGUCAAUUUUUUAAAUUGUAUCUAGGUACUUACCUAAGUAAAGUAGUUAAUAAUAAAAACCAGAAAAUCUAAUAGCUGUUAUUCAGGUAUGGUAUUCAGGAUAUGAUUUUUAAAACCUGCAUGCGAUAUUUAUAUACCUAAAGUUUUUUAUAGUUGCUAGGUUUUAAAUUUACCUACGAAGGCAUUUUCCACGAUAACCUCUGCAAUGCCAACUUAAAUAACUAGCCUGCUAAAUGAAUGGAAAUUAAACUUUCAUCGUGGUGGCUAUUAAUGUUAAUUACUGAAUUCAUUAGUAGGAUGUUUAUGGCCUCAGUUUAAAGAGAUUACGGACUGCAGCUAUGUUUUUUAUUUUUGAACAUUUUUGACUUAUUAUAUGGUUUAAAAAGACGCAUAGGUUUUUAUUAAUUGACAAUUGAAAUGAAAUCGAUUACUCGUUAAGGUGUUUUCAAAAUUAUAAAAUUUUGUUCGAA
rnacentral:lncRNA from 1 species